AGUGGGAGCCCCACCACCAAAGCAUUCUCUGGUGUUGAAGGCCCUGCAAAGCAGCAUCGCGGUGGCGGAGCGUCGUUUGCGACGCCCAACACACAAAACAAGCGGUGAGUGCUUUGGGGUGGGGUGACUGCGUACCUUUUGUAUAAUGGGUCAGCGACUUAUAUUCUGUAGCAAGGUUAACCGUAUAGGGGAGCCGGAGGGAAACCGAGUCUUAACCGGGCGUUAAGUUGCAGGGUAUAGACCCGAAACCCGGUGAUCUAGCCAUGGGCAGGUUGAAGGUUGGGUAACACUAACUGGAGGACCGAACCGACUAAUGUUGAAAAAUUAGCGGAUGACCUGUGGCUGGGGGUGAAAGGCCAAUCAAACCGGGAGAUAGCUGGUUCUCCCCGAAAGCUAUUUAGGUAGCGCCUCGUGAAUUCAUCUCCGGGGGUAGAGCACUGUUUCGGCUAGGGGGCCAUCCCGGCUUACCAACCCGAUGCAAACUGCGAAUACCGGAGAAUGUUAUCACGGGAGACACACGGCGGGUGCUAACGUCCGUCGUGAAGAGGGAAACAACCCAGACCGCCAGCUAAGGUCCCAAAGUCAUGGUUAAGUGGGAAACGAUGUGGGAAGGCCCAGACAGCCAGGAUGUUGGCUUAGAAGCAGCCAUCAUUUAAAGAAAGCGUAAUAGCUCACUGGUCGAGUCGGCCUGCGCGGAAGAUGUAACGGGGCUAAACCAUGCACCGAAGCUGCGGCAGCGAACGUAUCACUUAAAGCGAUUCAGCGGGUUACGAUUGACGGAGCGAAGCGACGUCAAAGCGUAUACAAAGUCGAGUCGGUUUAAGGAUACGUUCGUUGGGUAGGGGAGCGUUCUGUAAGCCUGCGAAGGUGGCCUGUGAGGGUUGCUGGAGGUAUCAGAAGUGCGAAUGCUGACAUAAGUAACGAUAAAGCGGGUGAAAAGCCCGCUCGCCGGAAGACCAAGGGUUCCUGUCCAACGUUAAUCGGGGCAGGGUGAGUCGACCCCUAAGGCGAGGCCGAAAGGCGUAGUCGAUGGGAAACGGGUUAAUAUUCCCGUACUUGGUGUUACUGCGAAGGGGGGACGGAGAAGGCUAUGUUGGCCGGGCGACGGUUGUCCCGGUUUAAGCGUGUAGGUGUGUGUUCCAGGUAAAUCCGGUUCACUUUAACACUGAGGCGUGA
rnacentral:rRNA from 1 species